CAGCAGCCACGGGAAUACAGAGGGUGCAAGCGUUAAUCGGAAUUACUGGGCGUAAAGCGCGCGUAGGUGGUUUGUUAAGUUGGAUGUGAAAUCCCCGGGCUCAACCUGGGAACUGCAUCCAAAACUGGCAGGCUAGAGUAGGGCAGAGGGUGGUGGAAUUUCCUGUGUAGCGGUGAAAUGCGUAGAUAUAGGAAGGAACACCGGUGGCGAAGGCGGCGACCUGGUCCAUUACUGACGCUGAGGCGCGAAAGCGUGGGGAGCAAACAGGAUUAGAUACCCGCGUAGUCCCUGUCUCUUAUAC
rnacentral:rRNA from 1 species